CCCACUCCUCUCACUUCUCUCUCACUCCCGACUCCAUUUGCUCCGGUCAUCGACUCCAUUUUCUCCGUUCAUCGAUUUUCUCCGAUCAUCGACUCCAUUUAGGUUUCCGCGACAAUGGUGCUCAGUGGAAACAGGCGCGAACAGCCCGAGUGGUACCAGCAACGCCAAAGUGAGGCGGCGAGGAGGGCGCGAGCUACUCGUGAGCCGGAGGUCCGGGCUCCACGUCAACAUCCGCCGCCGCCGCCGCCGACGGGCCCCAGGGUCAGCGCAGCCGAACGGCGUCAAAGCCGUCGAGCCGCCAUGCGUGAGCAGGCGGCUCCGCGUCCCCGAGCCGUUGUUGCCGUUCCUGAGGGAGUUCCUGCAGCCGGUGUGGGCGGCGCUGAAGCAGCCG
rnacentral:lncRNA from 1 species